rnacentral:lncRNA from 1 species
AGACUAACCAGACAGGGCCACCAGGUAAAGACUCUAACCAGACAGGGCCACCAGGUAAAGACUCUAACCAGACAGGGCCACCAGGUAAAGACUCUAACCAGACAGGGCCACCAGGUAAAGACUCUAACCAGGACGGGCCACCAGGUAAAGAUUCUAACCAGACAGGGCCACCAGGUAAAGACCCUAACCAGACAGAGCCACCAGGUAAAGACUCUAACCAGACAGGGCCACCAGGUAAAGACUCUAACCAGACAGGGCCACCAGGUAAAGACUCUAACCAGACAGGGCCACCAGGUAAAGACUCUAACCAGGACGGGCCACCAGGUAAAGAUUCUAACCAGACAGGGCCACCAGGUAAAGACCCUAACCAGACAGAGCCACCAGGUAAAGACUCUAACCAGACAGGGCCACCAGGUAAAGAUUCUAACCAGACAGGGCCACCAGGUAAAGACUCUAACCAGACAGGGCCACCAGGUAAAGACUCUAACCAGACAGAGCCACCAGGUAAAGACUCUAACCAGACAGGGCCACCAGGUAAAGACUAACCAGACAGGGCCACCAGGUAAAGACUCUAACCAGACAGGGCCACCAGGUAAAGACUCUAACCAGGCAGGGCCACCAGGUAAAGAUUCUAAUCAGGCAGGGCCACCAGAUGAUGAAUUGCAGAUGGAGGUGUUGGAGCUGUGUGGUGCUCCUUGUCCCAGUCCAAGCCCACAGAGGGAGCAGCUGUUCAGCCACUUAUCUCCACUCCCCUCUCUGAAGGACCUGCAGCAGGAGCCCUCUCUGAACUGUCCUAGCCCGGUCCGCUGUCCCACCUCUCCCCAUGCCCAGCUCCACCCCUCCCCCCGGCCCAGCGGCAGCCCCACAUCCUCCCCAGCAGAGCCUCAUCUCCUGGGUUCUGGCUUCUACCAGCUGCAGCUGGGGCCCUUCCUUCCAGACGGCCUGUCCAUGGGGCCAGAGGGUGGGGCCUCUCAGAGGCUGAAGGUGGACUUCUCCCUGCCCUCCGUCCCCCAGCCCCCGCCCUUGCCUGCCAUUGCCCCAUCCUCCUCCGUCACUUCUGACUUUGGGGCCAUCAGCAGUUACCUGUGUCCCUCGGCCCUGUGCCCCCCUCCCGUCCAGCACUCCGGCUCGCUCACCAAGUGA